rnacentral:lncRNA from 1 species
CUCAAGCUUGACUCUAGAUGAUCCUAAGUCAAGCUUGGAACCUUGAAGAACUUCCUCAUUAAAAACCUCACCAAGGAAAACCCUUUGGGACAAAACCUUGAUGAGGGAAAAAGAGUAAAGUCUCCAAGGCCUAGGGAUUGGCCAGUGAGUCUUUGUGCCUUACCAACAAUGUAAGGGACACAAAGACUCUGGAUCAUGGCCCUCAUGUGAUGCAAGAUAGAACCCACUCCUCUUGCUCAUCAUCAACACUUCUUGUACUCUUCUUUAGACAGAUCUUGGUCUCUCCCCCUUUCUUACAACCUUCUUGUUGUGAUCAAGUGCUCGGACUACCAGAUCUUCCUUGAUAGAUACAAGCUGAGUCUUGGCUGCUUCUUCUUCAUGAGUCACCACCAUGUUACUGAAACCUUCAUGACAGGAUGCUUCAGACUGUAGUACCAAUCACCUCACUCUAGAGGCCGCAUUGGUGAUUGCUUCUUCAUCCUUCAUUAUGCUUCAUAACUGAUCUGCUCCUCUUCUUGAAUAACCACCAAGUACUCUCAGAUCAUGUAAGCUUCAAC